rnacentral:tRNA from 1 species
CCCAUUCUGGCGGCUCCUGGAUGCACGCGCUCGCAGAUUGUGGAUCUGGGGGUCCCCCGUUCGAGCCGGGGCGGUGGUACCA